GCCGGGCGUGGUGGUGCACGCCUGUAGUCCCAGCUACUCAGGAGGCUGAGGAAGGAGAAUUGCUUGAACCCAGGAGGUGGAGGUUGCAGUGAGCCAAGAACAUGGCACUACACUCCAGCCUGGGUGACAGAGCGAGAUCCUGUUUCAA
ensembl:misc_RNA Metazoa_SRP Metazoan signal recognition particle RNA